rnacentral:tRNA from 1 species
GUCCGGGUGGCGGAAUUGGCAGACGCGGGGGGCUUAAACCCCCCUGGCCCGAAAGGGCCGUGUGGGUUCGAUCCCCACCCCGGGCA